GCCCCCCUCUGUGGCGUGCUCACGCAGGGCCCCGCCCAGGUGUAGGCCCCGCCCUCUCGCCGGAGGGGGCGUGGCCAGGGGGCAGAGUUCCGAACCCCUGCAGGCUGUGCAACCAUUUGGGGUGAGGGCGCCUUGAUGCCGCGCGUCCGCGCCUCUCUCCCUUCCCCUCCUCCCCCGAGGAAGGAGAAGAGUUUUGCCAGCUAAUGAGGCUGCUGUGCAUCCCGGGAAGGUUCUAGACUUCAGAACAGGCAGGUCCCUACUCCAAUAUGACUAAUUAUAACAGCAAUCUGGACUCUCGGUGCGAGCAGAGAGAACGCCAUCUGAACACAAAGUGGGAGAACAGAGUGAUACUCUGCAAGCUGAGCACAGAGAUCACCAGGAGCCACACAAAGCCAAGAGAGACACGUGACCAGAUUCCCCCUUGAGGAAAAAAUUACGUGAUCCCCGCAGAUACCUUGAUCUUAUACGUCCUGAUUCCAAAACUUCAUGACAUCUGUGUGGUCCAGGCAGCAGCAGAGGCUGUACUCCUGAGCUGACCAUGGGAUCUCCCAGUGGUACCCAGGAGGCAGAAGGAAGCAAGGACGGAGGAGAAAAACAGACCGCUUAACAGCGCCUGAGCCCUGAGUCUUGCUGCGCCUUGGACCACAUCUCCCGUUACACCUUUCAGAUGUCAGCCAAAAAAAAAUUCCCUUUUGUUCUUAAGUCAUUUUGACAUGGGCUUUCUGUCACGUUUGAUUAAAAGACUCCAUACUGAAUUCUUUAAAUAAUCACUUGCACAGUUGGAUUUUAUGCAGGAGUAGUUACAGCUUUAUUAAUAAUGGUGAACUAACACAAGGAAAAGAGAUUAUAAAUCUUUUACAAUACAUAACUGUAGACUUAGAGGCAAACUGUUAUAGUGUAAAUGCUUUUUCAGAAUAAAAGCAAAAUGACCUGUAGUGAGUGACUCGAAGCUUAUCUUGGGCUGGCAGAAACUGAAACCAUUUCUCUUUUCCCUGUUUUCUUUCUUGUUGCUUUGUUAUUUGUUUCUUUCUUCUUCUUUUCCCCCUCUAUCUGGCUAGAGAGAUAGUUCUUAGAGUAAAGAAAUCUGCCUCCAAGCCAGACAGCCUGAGUUUGAUGCCUUGGCCCAACCUGUUAGAAGGAAAAGAUGAAAAACCUUUCUCAGUUUUCUCUGUCCUCCACACGCACAGUGACACACGCUUGCCUGUACAUAGACUUUUAUUUUCAUUGUAAGUAAAAAAGACUGGGAAUUUAGCUCAGUGGUAAAU